UACGACCCCCACAUUUAAAUUAAAAAAAAAAAAAAAAAAAACAGACAUCAGAAACUGCCUGGGACAAUGACCAGAUAUUGGAUUUAAUGGAAAAAGACGUCAAAAUAUCCUUUAUAUGCUCCCAGAACUAAAGAAAAUCUUGAUUAAAGAAGUAAAAGAAGGCACGACGACAAUGUCACAUCUCGUAGAGACUGUUGAUAGACAGAAACUAUAAAAAAGAACCACGAGGAAGUCUGGAGCUGGAAGGCAGGAUGGCUGAAGAGAGUAAUUCUCUGUCGGGACUCAACAGUCGAUUUGAACUGGCAGAAGAAAGUGACUUGAAGAUGCAUCAGUGGAGAUGACACAAACCCAGCACAGAGAGCAAGUAGAAUUAGAAAGGCAAGGAGAGGCUUGGAGAACAGAGGGACACGUGAGGUCACCGAGGACGCACAGGAACGGGCCGGAGAAUGGAGGGACACGUGAGGUCACCGAGGACACACAGGCAUGCGCCGGAGAACGGAGGGAUGCGGUGAGGUCACCAAGGAUGCACACACAUGGGCUGCACUAGAGGGAAAGGAGAGAGGAAGAAAGAGAUGAAAAAAUGUUAAAAGAAAAAUGGUCGAAAUGUUGCAAAUUAGUUUUAAAAAAUAACCUGCAAACCAGGAUUCUCAUUGAACUCCAACUGGGGCAAACCUAUAGAGACUCACGAACUGAUACAUAAAAUGCUGAAAGUCAAUAAUAAGGAGAAAAUCUCAAAAGCCAAAACAAUAAAAUAAUGUAUCACUUAAAAGGGAACCCCAAUAAGGUGAACAUACGACUUCUAAGCAGCCACUAUGUGAGCCAGGAGGCAGUGGCCUAAGGUAGCCAAAGGAAAGGAAAGGAGACAAGAGGGGAGGGGUAGUGCGGAAUAGGGAGAGGGAGGGAGAAAGGAAGGCAGGAAGGGACGGAGGGAGGAAACCUGUCAGUCCCAAAUCCAGUGCUCCGCAGAACGUUCCUUCAAGACUGAAGGUGAAAGACUUUCAGAAAAACAGAGUUUGUUGCUAGCAGACCCAUCUGACAAAAAAUACUCAAGGAAGUUCUUGAGGCAGUGAGCAGGAAACUUUAGACAGUGACUGAAAUCACAGGAAGAAAACAGAGGGCCACUUACAAGACAGUACAAAUACACAUUUCUCCUUUUAAAACUGAUGUGAAAAGUGAUUGUAUAAAAUAAUGAUUAUCAGAACAUAUUCAUAGGUUUGUAACGUGACUGUUUAUAAAGCAGAAUGUAUAAAAGGGGGAGAAGGGAAUGGACGUAGCUACAUAGGAAUAGUGUUUUGUGUGUCACUAAACUAUUACAAAUCUGAAGCUGACUAACGUGAAAAUGAAUAUGGUAAAUAGUUGAGCAAUCCCUAAAGCAAAAAGAAAAGUUUUAAAAAGCUUCACUAAAAAUAAUGCAAAGAAAUAAAAAGAAAACAAAUAAAUGAGGGGAAGACAUAUGAAAAGUGAAAUGGCAGCUCUCCAUGCAGCUAUAUCAAUAAUAACAUCAAAUGAAAGUGGAUUUAACAACCAAGGAAAAGCAGACUGUCAGUCUGAAUUAAGAAAACAGGACCCAACUUUCUGCUGUCUACAGAACACGUACUUUCUAUUCAAAGAUUCACACAGAGACUAAGAUGAUGGGAAAAGAGCACCCAAAGAGCAGCCUCAGGAUGGCCGGGGAGGCUACUCAUGUGAGACAGAAAGCCUCUUGAAAACAACUGUAUGAAGAUGAAUGUUUACAGCGAUAAGAGCACCACUCUGUGAGAAAGACAUAACAAUUAUGAACAAAUGUGCAGUCAACAAGAGAACCCGAAAAUGUAUGAAGCAAAAGCUCAGAAUGAGGAAGAAAGUUCUACGACAGAGAAGGGGGACUCUACAGAAUGAGGGAGAAAGUUCUACCACAGAGAAUGGGGACUCUCUACAGAAUGAGGGAGGAAGUUCUACCACAGAGAAUGGGGACUCUACAGAAUGAGGGAGAAAGUUCUAC